rnacentral:ncRNA from 1 species
CAGCAUCGCUAGGGGUCCUGCCCCCGGCGUCCGUCGCAAGGGCUACCCCAGUGUAGUCCGUCGAGACGGGCGGCGGGAUGCGGGUGAGAAAUACCCUUGGAACCUGACCCGGAUAAUACCGGCGUAGGGAAGCGUCAACUGCCCUCA